rnacentral:tRNA from 1 species
CAGGGAGACAACAAAAUGUUUAAUAUUAUUAUUUUGUCACCUUAGGUCGAUCGGUAUCUCACAUUCUUAAUUUAUUAAGGAUUUCAUUUCCUAAGUUUUUUCUAGGUCACACCCAUUAUUUUUCCUGGGCCAUUAGCUCAGGUGGUUAGAGCGCACCCCUGAUAAGGGUGAGGUCCCUGGUUCAAGUCCAGGAUGGCCCAUAUCUCUAUGUUGGGGGUAUAGCUCAGUUGGUAGAGCGCCUGCUUUGCAAGCAGGAUGUCAGCGGUUCGAGUCCGCUUACCUCCACUGAUUACCACCUCUUACAUAAUCUGAUAAAGGAAAUGUAUUGAGUUGUGAUCAAAUUCUGAACGAUUCUAGCUUCCUAAUGAAAUCAUUAAGAUGCUGGACUCAUUGAAUUAAUUUCAUUGUUUUCAGAGAACCUUGACAACUGCAUAGAUUAUUUUUAAAGACAAUAAGCAUCUUUAAUGAUGCAGAUUUAUUAUUUGUGCGAAUGCAUUAAAUAACAAUUCUAUUAAGCUGAUGCUUCAAUUAUUGAAGUUAUU